GCCGCAUUGCCAUCGACCAGAAGAUGGCGGCGAGCACGAUUUGCCACGCCGAUAUGCGCAUCGAGUGCAUCGACCCCACAAUGCCUGGCUCAACUCAUGACUCUUUCGUGUGGAAGAGUUCCUGGCUCCGUAGACAGCUCAUGCAAGGUCGAAUCCUGGGACCCGGCGAGGCCCUCUUGGGCGACAGCGCUUACCCCCUGGAGCCAUGGAUGCUUACGCCUGUCACUAAUGCUCGGGC